GACGUAGGGGACGAGCGUUGUUCGGAUUCAUUGGGCGUAAAGGGUGCGUAGGCGGCGCGGUAAGUCGGGUGUGAAAUUUCGAGGCUUAACUUCGAAACUGCAUUCGAUACUGCCGUGCUAGAGGACUGGAGAGGAGACUGGAAUUUACGGUGUAGCGGUGAAAUGCGUAGAUAUCGUAAGGAAGACCAGUGGCGAAGGCGGGUCUCUGGACAGUUCCUGACGCUGAGGCACGAAGGCCAGGGGAGCAAACGGG
rnacentral:rRNA from 1 species